AACGUAGGGGGCGAGCGUUGUCCGGAAUUACUGGGCGUAAAGGGCGCGUAGGCGGUUUACCAAGUCAAGGGUGAAAACUACCGGCUCAACCGGUAGCCUGCCUUUGAAACUGGCAGACUUGAGGGCAGGAGAGGGGAGUGGAAUUCCCAGUGUAGCGGUGAAAUGCGUAGAUAUUGGGAGGAACACCAGUGGCGAAGGCGGCUCUCUGGCCUGUUACUGACGCUGAGGCGCGAAAGCGUGGGGAGCGAACGGG
rnacentral:rRNA from 1 species